AAGGCGAGAUUCGAUUUUCUGCCACCGAAUACAUUAGCAUGGGAUAAUGGAAUAGGACCCUGUCCUCCUAUUUUCAGUUGGUUUUGGCAGCGCGAGGACUAGGGUAAUGAUUAAUAGGGAUAGUUGGGGGCAUUAAUAUUUAAUUGUCAGAGGUGAAAUUCUUGGAUUUAUGAAAGAUUAACUUCUGCGAAAGCAUCUGCCAAGGAUGUUUUCAUUAAUCAAGAACGAAAGUUAGGGGAUCGAAGACGAUCAGAUACCGUCGUAGUCUUAACCAUAAACGAUGCCGACCAGCGAUUAGGAGACGUUGAAUACAAAACACCACCAUCGGCGCGGUCGUCCUUGGCG
rnacentral:rRNA from 1 species